GGCCAACGCAAGUAUGGAGGCUGUGAAGGC
rnacentral:piRNA from 1 species